AAACUGAGUUUACCUAGUCUUUUGUCCUUCUGGUGCCGGGGGCGGAGGUGGGGAAAGCCUGGAGCUCAGCUGAAGCCCUCCUGUUUCCAGGAGCUCCCUGGCCCCAGGCAGAAUCUUUUCUCUAAUCCCUGCCAAUAAAAAUUUACAUAAUCUAGGCCACACUUUGUAGCCCACUACCUGUUUUACCGUGUUGUUUAAAAAGUAACGUUGUUAAUGAACGCUGUUAAUUAACAGUUGUCACAAGUGGAGUAUGGACUUCAUAUUAAAGUAUCACGAUGUUAAAUUUGAGAUUACUGUGUUAUGUAAGAGAAUACCCUUUUCCUUAAAUAUACACCGGAGUCUUAAGGAGUGAAGGAAUGUGAUGCAUGCUACCUACUCUUAAAUGGUUAGGAAAUAGCAUGUAUGUAUGUGAGAGGAGGGGGUUGAGAGAGUGAUAAAGCAAAAUGGCAAGGUGAUUAAAAAAAUAGUGAGUUUGUGUGUGGUGGUUUUAAGAUACGUUCACAAAUUCAAUGAUGUUCUCUUAGAGGCGGGGUCUAAUUCCCCUUCUCAGGAGUGUGGGCUGGGCUUAGUGACUCUGUUAUCUAAUAGGAUAUUGUAGAAGUGAGUGUCUGACUUCCUAGGCUAGGUCAUAAAAGGCUCUGCAUCUUCCCGCUAGCUUUCUUUUUCAUUCACUCAGGACCCAAAUCUAGUGGAAACCAGCCGCUAUGUCAUGAGGACACUUAGGCAGCCUGUACUGAGGCCUUCCACCAACAGAUAUGUGAGUGAGUCAUCUUGGAAGCCAGUCCUCCAGUCCUGCUCAAUGCUUUGGAUGACAGCAACCCAUGCCAACAUCCUGACUGCAACUUCAGGAAACCCUGAGCUAUGCCUGCCCAGCUAAGCCACUCCUGGUUUCCUGACUCUCAGAAACUGAUCUACUAGACCAGGAGUCCCCAAUCCUGGCCUGUUAGGAACCGGGCCGCACAGCAGGAGGUGAGCAGCAGGCAAGCGAUCGAAGCUUCAUCUGUAUUUACAGCCGCUCCCCAUCGCUCGCAUUACUGCCUGAGCUCUGCCUCUUGUCAGCAUUAUGCUUCAUCCCAACAUACCUUACAUGCUCCCUCAGAAACAUGGAUUUACAAAUGCAGCUUCAAAUACCUCUAGAGAAAGGCUUUGUGAAGGCAGAGACUUCUAUCUUCAUUUUUGUAUCCUCCAGAGUACUCAAGCUUAUCACAUGACUACUGGAUCUAAGGUUUCCUGGAGCAAUCCUAAACUAUGAAUAAAGAAAUGGAUACUACAGGGGUCAUCUCUUUGGGGCAGUCUGUGGAGGAAAAUAUGUAAGUUAUUUGCAACAGCUGUGGAAAACAUAGCAACCAAAGACAAAGGCUCCAAAUGAUUACCAACUUACUGAUGCACCUCUGGUUCUUCUUUCCAGAAGGAAGAAAGAGGAGGAGGAAAUAGUGGCCUAGCAGGCAUCUUCUUCCCUCUCACUGACCAAGACUGUGUGUUGCAUAACUACCCCUUGAUGCAAGGGAGCUGGAAAAUCAAUUCUUUUCUUUUAUAUUCUCCACAUUAGAGAUAAGAAAGGGAGAAAGGUGUUAAAAAUGGACUCUGAGCUAGCCAACCCACAGUAUCAAUCACAAAAAAAUGUCCAAAGAACUUUAAGAGAUAUAUAAACCCCCAAAGAUAGGAGAAAUUCUAAGGAACCCUGCCACUUUACCAAUAUACACUUCACAGAUGAUUUUCUCUCCCAACAUAAA